GAUGAACGCUGGCGGCGUGCCUAAUACAUGCAAGUCGAGCGAACGGACGAGAAGCUUGCUUCUCUGAUGUUAGCGACUGACGGGUGAGUAACACGUGGAUAACCUACCUAUAAGACUGGGAUAACUUCGGGAAACCGGAGCUAAUACCGGAUAAUAUUUUGAACCGCAUGGUUCAAAAGUGAAAGACGGUCUUGCUGUCACUUAUAGAUGGAUCCGCGCUGCAUUAGCUAGUUGGUAAGGUAACGGCUUACCAAGGCAACGAUGCAUAGCCGACCUGAGAGGGUGAUCGGCCACACUGGAACUGAGACACGGUCCAGACUCCUACGGGAGGCAGCAGUAGGGAAUCUUCCGCAAUGGGCGAAAGCCUGACGGAGCAACGCCGCGUGAGUGAUGAAGGUCUUCGGGUCGUAAAACUCUGUUAUUAGGGAAGAACAGAUGUGUAAGUAACUGUGCACAUCUUGACGGUACCUAAUCAGAAAGCCACGGCUAACUACGUG
rnacentral:rRNA from 1 species